CGUUGUAGAUACAUCAGAUCCCGAUGAGUGCGAACCUAUGCAUUGCUCUAAAGGAUAUGCGGUUUGCUGUUUCCAAAGCGACAGAAACUGCUCCUGUAAUUGCGCGCCGAGUACAACACCAUGUGAAACUAUUUUUGAAAAAAACUGCCCUUUACCUAAACGGAUCAUGUGUACUGACAUAAGGUCAACCUGCUUUUGCCGCGCUAUCAGUCGUCCAGAAAGUUCCGGGAUCUUGGGUCGCACAACCACAACCGAAGGGGACAGCGUGGACAAGCGUGCGAUGGUGACGUUAGAGGCGGCAACGACGUUGAUCCCAAGCAUGCUCACCGUCAUUCAUGGUGAGGACGAUGAUGCGACGUCCAGUGGGGAGCUCCGUUUCCAGCCGUGGUACCCCGCACCUCCCACCAAAAUGUUACGGUGAUGUUGGGAGUAUAAAACUAUAUUUGCAAUGUAUAUACAAGGAGAGUCGAUUGGGUUAAUAUGGCUGACUAGUAACAGCACGCAGCAGCCAGCGUAUCGCGAUCUUCUUCUUCUUCUCUCCCUUCUUUCACCCUUCCAUAACAAUAUUCUGAAAGAUUAGGUUUAACUUAUAAGGAUUGCGCAGAAAACCAUUUGUAAGAAUGGAGCUUAUAUUAAACAGAACGGUUCCCUAAUUAAGCCGAAGGAACAUGGUAGCUGAAUAACUGAAAUAUUCCUUCCUAAUGGAUUUCAGUAUUUAUUGAAGAACGCCGAAAGCCUCAUCUUUGGAAAUCCGAGGUGCAUGUGGUGGUGAACUACAACUAGACUCUCUAUGUGAAAUAUUUUGUAAUAAUUUUCUAACAGAACUCUCGUUACUCCUUCGCUUGAGCUAUGAAGCGUAACGCUCUCAUCAUUGCAGCUGCUUGUAUAAAAGGAUAAAAUCAAGACAGUUCGCUGUCUGUUCUUCAACAGCUGGACUAUGAGGUCUGCUUUAGUGAACAGCGGAAACAUCUGUGUGCGUUCUUCUCGUUACAUUCGAAUUUGUUAGCUCCAGAGAGGAGUGUUUCUUUUUCUGCUGUGGUGGUGGCCUACAGAAAACUGCGGAAAGCUUUCAGCCUUGAAGAAAAAUUCUCCGACAGAGUUGGGUUGAUAUGGCAGGAAUUCACAUACCUUUCGCUGGUAUCCUGGUUGCCUCCCUUUUUUACUUACACGGAACAGCGCUUUCAGAAGAUCAAGAUGAGUGCGUAUAUCCGGAAUGCGAUCUACAAGAUAAAGUUUGCUGUUUGAAAAAUGGCACUGACUGCGACUGUUAUUGCGAGGCGGGCACAACAGUAUGCGAAACUUUUUUUCAAGAACACUGCCCCUCUCCUAAAGUUAUCGUGUGUGAUAAGAAUGGCGGAAUUUCAACCUGCUUUUGUGUUUCAACCCCUCAACGAUAGAGAUUCCAGGUUGACCAGUUUUUUUAUGGCUCACCAAUGGUCCCUGAUUAUUACCAACGGUAUUCCAUGGAAAUACUUCGUAAAAUUAUGCAAUAAACUUGUUUUAUGAACAGAUCUUA